AUGUACAACAUACGGCUGGAUUCUUUAGCUGCGGAAAAAGAGUGGCAGGACAUGCGAAUUAUUGGACAUUUAGAGGCAAACAGACGCACAGUGCAAACUUCGGAGAUGGUUACAUCCACAAAGAAGACCCCGACAAAGAGAAAGUGUGCCCGAACUACUUAUUUCAUUGGAGGCAUCGAGAUCUGCAAGAAUACUUUUCUGUUUCUUAUGGGCAUUGGCAGAGACACCCUGGCUGAUAUAGUCAAACACUAUGAGGAGAAUGGGGCAAGACCACGUUUAAGAAAGAAACACUCACUGCCACGUCCACCAGCCAGGUUCAUCAGCCCUGAGGAUAUCAACAGAGUUGUGGACUUCAUAAAAAACUAUGCAGAAGACAAUGCCAUCAUGCUGCCUGGCCGACAGCCUGGGCAUAAGGAUUGGCAUGUGAAAUUGCUGUUAACUAAUGUGUCCAAGGCCUCAGUGUGGCGUCUCUAUGUGAAGUCUGCUAAGGAGCUUGGUGAGCGUGCAGUUUGUAAAACCAGCUUCAAAGCACUGUGGAACCGACUUCUCCCACACAUCAAAAGUUGCCGGCCGCACACAGAUCUCUGCUGGCAGUGCCAAAGCAAUAACGAGCAGCUGAUACGAAGUGCAAACCUCCCAGAUGAUAGAAAGUCUGAAGCAGUAAAGAAGCAACAAGAUCAUCUUUCCCUUGUGCAGAAAGAGAGGGCUGUGUACAACGACAUGACUGCUGCCUGCAGAAAGAUUUGCUCUGGCUCUAACCUGUCUUUUGGACCGUCCCUACCAGCAAGCAAGAAGAUUAGGAUGCAUUACAGUUUUGAUUUUGCUCAGCAGUUACACUUUCCCUCAAACCCUCUCCAGCCAGGACCAAUGUACUUCCUGACCCCACGGAAAUGUGGCCUAUUUGGUGUUUCCUGUGAAGGGCUGCAGAAACAGGUGAAUUACCUGAUUGAUGAAGGCAUGUCAUCUACUAAGGGAAGCAAUGAAGUCAUCAGCUACAUGCAUCAUUUCUUCGGCAACUUUGGAGUUGGAGAAACAGAGGUGGAUCUUCAUUGUGACAACUGCAGUGGGCAGAACAAGAACAACUUCAUGCUCUGGUACCUUGCCUGGCGGGUUGGACACAAGCUUCACGAUAAAAUUGAAAUCCACUUCCUUAUUGCUGGCCACACCAAGUUUUCCCCUGACUGUGGCUUUGGACUCAUCAAGCAAGCCUACAUGAAGACAAGAGUGAACACUUUGGCAGACAUCGCUGAGGUUGUGGAAAACAGCUCUCCUGUGAGUCACCUCAAUAUCCCACAGCUUGUUGGAAUGGCAGAGGGCAAAGUUUUAGUCCAGACCUUCGACUGGCAGCAGCAUCUGACUCACCACUUCCGUAGACUCCCACAGAUCAAGAGUUAUCAGCACUCUAGCUUUUAUGCCAAGAGACCAGGUGUGGUGCUUGCAAAAACUCACCGUGAUGCACAACCUGUCGAAUAUCAGCUACUGCGUGACGGAGCAGAUCUGCCCCUAUCGACGGUCUUCCUGUCCUGGGCCCACCUGGACUGAACAUUAACAGGCAGACCUAUCUGUAUGAAAAAAUCAGGCCAUUCUGUGCUGACGAGGCAACAGACAUCACAUGCCCAGCGCCAAGGGUCACAACACAGAAGAGACCACAGAAGAGGAUGCGAAUGUGAUAUCAUUGGACAUUGAAAGUGCUUGAAUUUAUUUUGUGCAAGAAGUUUUCUGGAAGAAAUUCCAUAUUAUUCUCUCCGGUCCGAUAAUGUGUUAUUUCGCCAACACUUCGUGGACUAUGCUUGAUUUACAUUAGUUACUUGCAUUUACGUGUUGCGUUAAGUGUUUCCCGCGUGAGGUAAUUUUUUGUUGUACGUUGCCAUGAUGUUCACGCGCGCACAAAACUACUACGGUACCUCAGCGUUUCACAGACACACUGUGAAAUGACUGGUUACAUGAGCCUAAGCUCUUUUCAAUAAAAUCCACACAAAAGUUAAUAUCA
ensembl:lncRNA